CCUGAGGUGGUGGUACCUGGGGUUCACCUAAUGUUUCUCCUCAAAGUGAAACCAGUGCGGGCGGUAGUCUCCGCGCGUGCGUUCGCUGCGGCCCGCGGGUCGCGUGGUCAGCUCGGAACCUGAGGGUGUGGGGGAAGGUCGGGGCGUCUGGGGAAGGGUCCUGACAGGCAGGGUGGAGGAGGAUCGCGGGGCGGGUCCGGGGGAGGGUCGCCAAGCGUUCCCGCAGGACUCGAGCCCGUGGCCAUGACCGCGCUCCGGGUUCCGCGGCGGCUGUGCUGGUUGGUGCUGGAUGAGAGGAGCUGCACGCGGCUGGGCGCGCGGGCUGCGCGGGGUCUGCCGGAGAUACCCUCCUGCACACUUUACGCGCCACAGCCGCUGGGACAUCUUGGCCUAUCUGGGACCUGGACAUCGAAGCCGUCCACCAGGACUACAAGCGGGCUCUCUCUGCACGAGGCUGCCUCCAUGGGACACCCGGACUGCGUGCGGUACCUGCUGGCCCGGGGGGCCGCCGUCGACUGCUUGGAAGGCCGACUGACUGCCUCCCAUGAUAGAGCAGAGAGCUGUAACGAACAUGUUCAGAUGCCCUGGAGAAGGAAAUGGCAACCCACUUCAGUAUUCUUGCCUGGAG
ensembl:lncRNA